rnacentral:rRNA from 1 species
UUUUAAUUAAAGACUAGAACAAAAGAUUAAACGUUUAAAUUUAUUUUUAAAAACUAUUCAUUUAAAAUUAUCUUAGACGUAAAAAGACGUCUAUUUAAAAAAAAGACGACAAGACCCUAUUGAACUUAACUUUAGUUUAACUGGGGCAGUUAUUAAAUUAAUACUUUUAUUAAAAUACUUUUAUUAAAGAUCCAGUAAUACUGAUCUUAUGACUAAGUUACCAUAGGGAUAACAGCGUAAUAAUUUUUAUAAGAACUUAUAUAAAAAAAAGAUUGCGACCUCGAUGUUGAAUUAAUAUCCUAGUUUACGCAAUAGUUAAUUAAGGAAGUCUGUUCGACUUUUAAAAAAUUACAUGAUCUGAGUUCAAACCGGA